rnacentral:lncRNA from 1 species
UUCACAUAACGUCAAAUUAACAUUUCAAGGAGGACAACUCAGUGGCACUUGGUACAUUCACAGUGUUGUGCAACCACCACAUCUAACUGGUUGCAAAACGUUUUUAUCUCCCCAAAAAGAGCCCCGUACCCAUCAUGCACUGCUCCCGGCUCUCCAUCCCCCAACCCCACGCCCUGGCGACCACCAGCCUGCUUUCCGUCUCCACGGAUUUAGCUAUUCUGGACAUUUCAGAGAAACGGAGUCACACAAUAGGUGACCUUCUGUGUCUGAAUUCUGUCACUUAGCAUAAUGUCCUGGAGGUUCCCCCUUAUCGUAGCGUGUCAGUAGGACUAUUUCUAAAGGGAAAUUUGUAUUACUACCAGAAAGAGAAAGUAAGUUAUUCAUUCCUACCGGUGGGAAGUAACCAGAAUGUUGCUCACAGCGAUGGUGUUAAUUCCAGCUGGACUCCGAGGCCUGCUCAGGGCUCCGGACCGAGGCCCGCUCCGCCUUGUAACAGGAGCAUAAUACCCUCAAGGUCCAGCCAUGUUGUCACAAAUGGCAUGACUUCGUCCUUUCUUAUGGCUGAGGAGUAUAUAUACAUACACACCAUGUCUUCUUCAUCCAUUCAUCUGUUGAUGGGCACUUGGGUUGCUUCCAAGUCUUGGCUAUUGUGAUAAUGCUGCAAUGAACACAGGGUGGAUAGAGCUUUUCAAUUACUGAUUUCAUGUUCUUUGGAUAAAUACUCAAAAGUGGAAUAGUGGAUCAUAUGGUAUUUCUAUUUUUAAUUUUUUGAGAAAGUGGAGACUAAAUAACAUGCUACUGAACAACUAUUGGAUCAAUAAAUAAAUCAAAGGAGAAAUAAAAAAAAUACCUGGAGACAAAUGAAAAUGAAAACACAACAUAUCAAAACUUAUGGGAUGCAGCAAAAGCAGUACUAAGAGGGAUGUUUAUAGUAAUACGGGCCUACCUCAAAAACAAGAAAAAUCUCAAAUAAACAAUCUAACACUUUACCUAAAAGAGCUAGAAAAAGAAGAACAAACAGAGCCCAAAGUCAGUAGAAGGAAGGAAAUAAUUAAAAUAAGAACUGAAAUAAAAUAGAGACAAAAAACAAUAGAAAGGAUCAGUGAAACUAAGAGCUGGUUCUUUGAAAAGAUAAACAAAAUUGACAAGCCCUUAGCUAGACUCUCUAAGAAAAAAAGAGGGAGGGGACGGCUCAAACAAACGAAAUCAGAAAUGAGAGAGGAGACAUCACAACAGACACCACAGAAAUGCAAAGGAUCCUAAGAGAAGACUACGCAAACCCGUAUGUCAACAAAUUGGAUAAUCUAGAGAAAUGGAUAAAUUCUUAGACGCGUACAACCUCCCAAAUCUGAAUCAAGAAGAAACAGAGACUCUGAAUAGACCAAUCACAAGUACAGAUUGAAACUAAUCAGAAACCCCCCUAGAAACAGAAGUCCAGGACCAGGCGGCUUCUCUCAGCCCCCAGGCCCCGGCCCUGGGUGGCAGCUGGAAGUGCUGGGAAGCAUCACUCCAGGGAGCCGCCCUCAAUCAAAGCCGGCAGGAGAGCAUGGACACCUCCCGCUGCUCCCCGGCCACCCCCGCCCCACCCGGGGGGUGACUCAGAAGGCACGGUCUACACUAUCUCCCAGAGUCCCACAGCGGACUGAGUCCCACAGCCCGGAGCGCUUACUUCUCCAUAACGCUCUGCGCUGGCUGCGCUCACUUCCCCACUCCCCUACCAGUGUUUUCUGGGGUCGCCUCCCAAAUGAACCGCUUGCUUUCAAAUUGUUCUCUUAGGGUUCUGCUUCCAGGGAAACCCAACCCAAGGCGCUCACUGGAAAUUGGAGACAUUCAGCCAAUUACACAAAGGGGCAAAACAAAACCAGAAACCGCUACCGCUGGGGGCUUGGCGCUGGGGCUGCUGUUUCCUAAAAAGAAAGAACAGGGGGAGGAAAGUGGUGAAGACACACAAGCCCCGGUCAGCCUUUCCUUCCCUGUGGCACCAUCAGGAGGAUGGGAAGGGAGCUGAAAUGACUCUUGCACACUGUGAGUUGAUGGGGUCUCAGUCGGGGUCCCCAUACCCCACACAGCCGCCGCCAGCCCCAACCACGGCCCACCAUUCAUGAACAAUUUGUCGCAGGCUGGCUCCGAGGAUGGAGGACCUCUCGGCCCAGGUUGGGCAGCUGGCAGGACACAAGGCUGGUGGGCUUGGCAGGCAGUGCUCAGCACUGGGCUGGGCACAGGGGCCAGAGGGGGCCAGGAAGAGGACCUGUGGUCCCACCGUUCAGGCAAUGAGCCUGACACAUGGGCUGACGGCCUAACUCUGCUUUGAGUGCGUCUUGAGAAGGGAGAGCUCAUGGCCUCCCUCAUUCAUUCAUUCAUUCAACAAAUGUUUAUUGAGGACCUACUGUGUGCUGGGCGAGGCACUGGGGAGACCAAGAGGACAGACCAGAAUCCCUCAUGGUGCUGACACUCAAAUGGGGGACACAGACAAGAAACAAGUGAACACAGAAAUAAACUGGAAUGAGAGUCUUUGGGGCUACAAAGAAGAUAAACGGAAUGAUGGGAUAAAAAGUAGAAGGAGUGUUUGACAGUAUUGGCCUGGGGGGGGCCUCUGUGGAGGGGUCGUUUAAGCUCAGAAUGGAAUGUGGAGAAGAAUCCAGCCAUGCAAAAAGCUAGAGACAGAGGGUUCCAGAUAGCAGGGACAGCAUAUGCAAAGGCCGGGGGUGGGAGUGAGCUCAGAGUGUUGGAGGAACAGGAGCAGGCUGGUGUGCUGGAGGAGGGGUGGUGGGAGGCUGGGGUGACACGGUCCCCCGGGCCGGGCCAGAGUGAAGGGAUGCCUGGGAUGCGUUCGUGGGAUCGAUGAGUCACUCGGGAAGGCGUCCUCGGGCACUGGAUGGAGAGCUCGGAGGGCACUGGAUGGAGAGCUCGGAGGGGAGCUGAAGGUGGUGGAUCCGGGAGGCGUCUUCUCUUGGUGUCUUUGUCAGUGGAAGGGGAGGCCCAGGAGAAUGACCUUGCUCUGCAUGGGGCCAGACUGCAGUGGGGAGGGGCUUCGGGUCCCACGACCACGUCUAUGUCGUGAGGCGCUAUUUGCUGAGAACCUGUGCACCAGGCUCUCCGUGACCGGGUCAGAGGCUGCCGGACACAUCCCCUCCCGGGAAGACGCUCGCAGGGAGAGGAAAUUGCAACACAGUGCCGUGAGUUUUCCAGGGAAGGGCCUUUCAAGUUGGCUUCUGAAGGAUGACGAGGAGCUUGCGGUAGGGAAACCAUGACCCAAAGGGCAGAAACCCUUCCUCUUGUUUGUCACUGUGCCCCAGCACCCAGGACGGGGCCCAGCACAGGGCAGGCGCUCGGUUGAUAACCGUUGAGAGAACGAAUGGGAACUGUCCGCACUUUGGUUAUUCAAGCAACGGCCUUCCCGAUUUUUGUGCGGUUUGCAUUCCAGACCUACUGUUACUUAAUGUUUUUCUUCAAGUUGACUUAACUUUCUAUUUAAAUAAAUUUGUUUAGAAGGGAAACAUUUGAUAUUAUCGCUAGAACUGAAAAAAGCAAAGAACACUUGCCGCAAAUCAAAGAUAACCAGAAAAAUCCUCAUGAUGAAAACCAACGAUGUUAUCAGGGUCUCCCCGUUAAGGGGGCAAAAGGACAAGCGGCAGACUGGGAGGAAAUAUUCGCAGAUCACACAUCUGACGAAGGACGGACUCGGAUCCAGAAUACAGAAAGAACCCUCCAGGCCACGAAUAAGAAAACAAUCUGAUUUUUUAAAUGGACAAAAAGUUUGAUCAGACACUACUACACCAAAGAACAUAUACGGAUGGCAAAUAAGCCCGUAAAAAGACGCUCAACAUCAUUAGUCAGCAGGGAAACGCAAAUUAACAUCACGACGUCAUCCCGGUAUACACCUAUGAGAUGGCUAAAAUUUUUUUAAAAUUGACAAUACCAAGUGCUGGCGAGGAUGAGAAGCAACUGAAACUUUCGCCCAUUGCUGGUGGCAAUGCAAAAUGGUACAGACACAGGUUAGCGGUUUCUGAGUAAGUCAAACAUGUACUUGACCGCAUGACAUAGCAGUUUGACCCCUAAGCCUUUCCCCAAGAUAAAGAAAAAUUAUGUUCACGUGACAACCUGUUUGCAAAUGUUCAUAGUGGCUUUAAUUAUAUCACUAAACACUGGAAACAGUCCAAAUAUCCCUCACGUGGUGAACGGGUACGCAGGCUGCGGUACGUCCAUACGCUGGAACGCUGCUCAGUGAUAACAAGGAAUGUUACUGAAAAACGUGCUGAGAACACACAGCGAAAUGAACACAUCUCAAAACCGCGAUGCUGAGUGAAGAAAGGCAAUGCCCUGCAGGACUCCACUUCCAUGACAUUCCGGAAACACAUCAGAUCUAAAGUCCAAAAACAGGUGCCACUGACCCAUGGUGACAGAAGUCAGGCUAGCGUUCAAGGUGCAUCAAGCAGAGCGCGUCUGUGGAGUGUGGCACAGCCCCACACAAAGCUCCCAAGAGUCUUGCUAGACACGACCGUGUGCCGAAGGCAGGGGGCCCGAGACCUGCUCCUUUCCAGAAAGAUCAGCAGGUAUUUGGUGUUAGACACAGGUCAGCGCCACGCGGAGACUGUCCUUGGCGUAAAGGAAGGACUGUGGCAGAUUCGCAAGGGGAAGAACCCACCACGCGCCCGGACGACAGCUGGUGCUCUGUCCCUGCGCCCUGCGAAACCGUGACACGCAGCCCCGGGGGCGCCCAUCGCCCACUGGGAGAGCACUCACGUGUCUGAGACAGCGUGCUGGCGGGCACGGCAGGGACACGGGCGCGGCACUGGGAGGGCGCAGCUCCCAAAGCAGAGGAGCCCACAUUUAGCUGGUGCAGUUCAGAGGAGGGCACUCACUUUUGCCGUUUGCGUCUCUGCGUCCCUCGGCACUACCUAGUCACCCCUCCAAGCUUUCGCAUUGGUCGCUCCUUCUGCUGGAGUUACUCCCUUCUCCCACCUGGACCACCCGACCCAUCCUAAACUCCCCUGGGGGGCCUCCUCCUUCUUCUCCCCGUCACUUGCAAGUCCCUUGCCGUUGCUGCUUUGGGGUCACUAUGCAUGUUACCUCCUCUGCCCAGACCCUCGUCCCUUCCCCUCCUCCAGGCCCACGGUCAGUCAGAACCUUUUGUAUGCAAGUGACAGAAAACCAGCCCAAACUGUUUUCAGGCAAAAAUGGGAAAUGCAGCAGCUCACGAAACUGAAAAGUCCAAGGGUGUGUGACUUCAGGUAUGGCUAGAUCCAGGGGUUCAAGCCCUGUUCAGCCCUGUGCUGAUCUCUGUCAGGCAGGCUUUUCCCUGUGACACCCCCAACGCUCCGGGCUUUCACUGGCUCUCUCAGUCCAACGGAAACGCUGCAUGUCCUUCGCAGAGUUCCCAGGAUCCACUUUCCUUGGGCGGGUUUAGCAUGUGUCCAUCCCCAGGCGAGUCGCUGGGCCAGACUUGGGCAUGUGCCCACCCCUGGAGACAGGGUCCCGGGACACCCCACCCAACCUCAGGGACUGACAUGGGGGAGGAGGAAGUUCUCCGGUAGAAAAUUCAGGUGUAACAGGGCACUGACCUGUCCGUAACUUGCCAUCUUUUCCUGGGAAAGUCUAACUCAUCCCAGCAUGCUGUGUGACCUCAGGCCAACCCCUUCCCCCCUCUGGGCUUCAUGUUCCCCUUCUGGAAAAUGGGCAGGAGGCUGCUUGAAUUCCAACAUUCCAGAACUCUGGGACAGCUUCCAGAACUGGCAACUGCUCCAUAAAUCCCAGGAACGUUCUGGAACUUCUGGGGACGGAAGUGGAGCAUCAGCCAGAGCCCUCCUCAGCCUGCGGCCCGGGAACAUGCUUAGAAGAUGACAAUUGGGCUCCCUUGGGCCGAAAUUCCACUCCCGUGGGGGCCUUGCCAAGGAAAACAAGCCCAAGAAGCAGGCAUUAAAGGUGAGCAUAUUUGACGAGUUUUAAGAUGACAAAUUAUUUACACAGGUGUGAGAACCAUCCCCUCGUGGCGGCUUUCUUCCUUUCUCUUCCUCCCCUUUCCAAAUUCUUUCCCCCAAGGGCGCUGACAGACGUGCCAAGGGAGGGGGCGGCUGGCGGUGAGGACCUGCCCACAGUGAGUCCUUAAAGCCCGGGCCCCAGGGGAGGAGGCGGAGCCGCAGGACAGCGGGUCGCACCAGGGGGCUCUGGUCACCCCUCCUCUACCUGCUUGCUCCCCACCCUGUCGCCUGGGGAGGCACGAGCCUGAGGUCCGGGCAUUUCAAGGCUCCCUGAGUCCUUCAGGAGGAUGGUGCCCAGGCCACCCCCCGGGAAAGCAGUUCCCAGGGUCACACAGCCAGCUCAUGCUCAACUUGGAGCUAACGAGGAGAGAGGUGGGGAAAGCAAUUGUUCUCGAGCACCUACUGUGUGCCUGACACUGAGCGGAGCCCUGGGAAUACACUGUGAAUGGAACAGCCCCAAACCCCUGCCUGGAGCCGACAAGGAAACAGGCCAGACAAACCCAAGAAGUGGAUCUGAUCAUCCUUGUUUUACCAAGGAGGAAACUGAGGCACAGAGAAGGGCAGGGACUUGCCCAGGGUCACACAGCAGAAGCAGAUCCCAGUCUCUUCCAUCUGGCUCCCAAGCCCGUGCUCCUGUGCUUCUGAGAGGUGAGGGGGCAGGAACGAGGGGUGUCCAGGACCUGCCAGCUCCCCCGCCUGCAGCUCUGCCCUCAGGGUGCGGGGCAUCUGGGGGCCGGCCCUCUGCUUCCUGUGGGAAGAAAGCGGAGGCUGAUUUAGCUGCUGAGUCAUGGGGUACGACAGGCUUCCAGGCCACGGAGGGCUCUGCCUCAGUUUACCCACCUUGAAAAUGGGUUUAAUAACACGUCUGCCCGCAGUGCCGACUUCAGAGGGAGCCGGGAAGGUUAAUUACCGCCGGCAGCUCCGGAACCUGAUGAAAGCGGGGAGGUGGGCGUAGUGACCGCGCGGGUCAUGACUCCCAGCGAGCGGAGGCUGGAGAGGGGUCGCACCCGCUUCUGAUGCAACCCCAGGCCCGCUGCUUUCCGGAGGUGGGGGCCCAACAUGCCGUAAACAUCUGCGUUUGACCGCCGUCCCGGCCCCCAGACCCCCGCACCCGGGGCCCUGCGAGCCGCCCGGGCUCCAGUCGCAUCUCUGCCACUCCCCUGCCGGACGCCUGGGCCGCGCUCCUCCCCUCUCGGGCCUCAGUUUCUCCGUCUGCGCAGUGGGGCUGAGAGCCUGGCCCGUCCACAGGGCGGGCUGCGGUCAUUGCUCACACUCACGCAGGCGCUGUGCAGCGCCCCCAUUUCACCUCCUCAGCUGCCUGGUUUGAGGGCAAAAAGGGCACGUCGAGCCACAGCCGCCCACGCCAUCAGCCGCCCCGGCCUCCUUGCCCUGCUGGGAAAUGGGGCAGGACUUUGCUAGAAAUAAAUAAACGGGGUUUAAAACACCCCUGGGGCUAUUGAUUGGCCUCUUGUCAGCCCCCAUUGGCCCCCAGCACCGGGCUCCAACGCCCCUGCCCCUGGAAGCCCCGACCCUCCGCCCCCGGUCCUGGGUCGGGAUCUAGGCCCACCCCCGCCCCCGCGCACGCGCACACCGCGUCCUGGCUCUUGAUCCCGCUGUGCACGCGCAGCUGGUCCCCGGGGAUGCCUGGAUGCUUCUCCUCUUGCAGGGUCGGCUCAGCGCGGGACAGGUUCUGGGGCCGGAGCCCCUCCUCCCCGCUCUGACCCCUCCGCGAGGCAGCCGCGUGCCCGCCUCACAGGUGGGGACACUGAGGCUCUGAGCUGCAGACGCCAGAGCCCGGGGCCUGCAGGAGGCGGAGGCCCACGUGGGGUCUGACCCGGGCCCCUGGGCUCACCGGCGCCUCGGGGCCGGGCCCUCCGCGACGACGCCGGGAGCAGGUGCAGGUCAGGUCCAGGCCGGCUGCUGGCGGGCAGAGCGGGGUGCGGGGCUGGCGCGGGCUGGGGGCUGGUGCCCGCCCUCCGAGCCCCCCGAGCCCCCUGAGCCCCCUGCCCCGCACCCCCGCCGCGCUGGCCGGGCCGACCCCGAACCCGCCCCGGCUCCCCGCGCCCCGCCUCUGCGCCCGUGGUGCCCCACACCCUGCCCGCUGGCGUCGUCUCUUGGUUGAGGUCUCUGUUCUAAUGUCGCCUCCUCAGCGGCCCUCCCAGGCUCCCUCGGUCACACUCUCUGCUGUAUUCCCCUCGGAGCCCCCAUAACUCUGAAACGACCUCACAUUCCCCGCUCCACGGACACGGACCCGAGUCCUGAGAACAGAGGGGUUUCUGUUUUGUUGGCUGUCACAUCUCCAGGACCAGGUAGAGCCCCCGAACACAGUGGUGCUCAAUAAUUGUUUGUUGAUGUAAUAAAAAAGUCUUUAAAAGAUAAGAAUAACUGUAUGCUGAGGGGAGGGGUGGACAUCCCAGGGGACGGAUGUGUCACCGAAGGACUGAAGAACUUCCCCAGGUCUUAGUGUGGUCAGUGGCAUCGACGUGACAAUGGCAAUACUGGUUGCGGGCACUGGCUGUGCUGGGCGCCGUUGGCACACCGGCU